UUGGAGGGCAAGUCUGGUGCCAGCAGCCGCGGUAAUUCCAGCUCCAAUAGCGUAUAUUAAAGUUGUUGCAGUUAAAAAGCUCGUAGUUGAACCUCGGGGUCUACCCAUUGGUCAGGCUUAAUUGUCUGCACUGGUGAGAUGGAUCUCUACCUUCUGAGGAACUUUCAUGCCAUUUAUUUGGUGUGAUGGGAAAUCAGGACUGUUACUUUGAAAAAAUUAGAGUGUUUAAAGCAGACUAUCGUCUGAAUACAUUAGCAUGGAAUAAUGAAAUAGGACGGACUGAUUCUAUUUCGUUGGUUUCUAGGAUCACCGUAAUGAUUAAUAGGGAUAGUUGGGGGCAUUAGUAUUCAAUUGUCAGAGGUGAAAUUCUUGGAUUUAUUGAAGACUAACUACUGCGAAAGCAUUUGCCAAGGAUGUUUUCAUUAAUCAAGAACGAAAGUUAGGGGAUCGAAGACGAUCAAAUACCGUCGUAGUCUUAACCAUAAACUAUGCCGACUAGGGAUCGGACGAAGUUAAUUUUAUAAUGACGCGUUCGGCACCUUACGGGAAACCAAAG
rnacentral:rRNA from 1 species